AACGAACGCUGGCGGCAGGCCUAACACAUGCAAGUCGAACGCCCCGCAAGGGGAGUGGCAGACGGGUGAGUAACACGUGGGAACCUUCCCUAUAGUACGGAAUAGCCCAGGGAAACUUGGAGUAAUACCGUAUACGCCCGAGAGGGGAAAGAUUUAUCGCUAUAGGAUGGGCCCGCGUAGGAUUAGCUAGUUGGUGAGGUAAUGGCUCACCAAGGCGACGAUCCUUAGCUGGUUUGAGAGAACGACCAGCCACACUGGGACUGAGACACGGCCCAGACUCCUACGGGAGGCAGCAGUGGGGAAUAUUGGACAAUGGGCGCAAGCCUGAUCCAGCCAUGCCGCGUGAGUGAUGAAGGCCUUAGGGUUGUAAAGCUCUUUUGCCGGGGACGAUAAUGACGGUACCCGGAGAAUAAGUCCCGGCUAACUCCGUGCCAGCAGCCGCCGUAAUAC
rnacentral:rRNA from 1 species